AUUCGAUAUUUUGGACAUUUUUUAAUAAAUCUGUUAAAUCACUCUCAGCGUUCAUAGAGUUUUUCACCUGAUUCUUGUUUAAUGUCACAUAUAUCUUUCCUCAAAAU